GGCAGGCUUAACACAUGUAAGUCGAGCGGGCGUAGCAAUACGUCAGCGGUAGACGGGUGAGUAACGCGUGGGAACAUACCUUUUGGUUCGGAACAACACAGGGAAACUUGUGCCAAUACCGGAUAAGCCCUUACGGGGAAAGAUUUAUCGCCGAAAGAUUGGCCCGCGUCUGAUUAGCUAGUUGGUGAGGUAACGGCUCACCAAGGCGACGAUCAGUAGCCGGUCUGAGAGGAUGAUCAGCCACAUUGGGACUGAGACACGGCCCAAACUCCUACGGGAGGCAGCAGUGGGGAAUAUUGGACAAUGGGCGCAAGCCUGAUCCAGCCAUGCCGCGUGAGUGAUGAAGGCCCUAGGGUUGUAAAGCUCUUUUGUGCGGGAAGAUAAUGACGGUACCGCAAGAAUAAGCCCCGGCUAACUUCGUGCCAGCAGCCGCGGUAAUACGAAGGGGGCUAGCGUUGCUCGGAAUCACUGGGCGUAAAGGGUGCGUAGGCGGGUCUUUAAGUCAGGGGUGAAAUCCUGGAGCUCAACUCCAGAACUGCCUUUGAUACUGAGGAUCUUGAGUUCGGGAGAGGUGAGUGGAACUGCGAGUGUAGAGGUGAAAUUCGUAGAUAUUCACAAGAACACCAGUGGCGAAGGCGGCUCACUGGCCCGA
rnacentral:rRNA from 1 species